UUGACCUCAAAUCAGGUAGGACUACCCGCUGAACUUAAGCAUAUCAAUAAGCGGAGGAAAAGAAACUAACAAGGAUUCCCCUAGUAACUGCGAGUGAAGCGGGAAAAGCUCAAAUUUAAAAUCUGGCGGUCUUUGGCUGUCCGAGUUGUAAUCUAGAGAAGUGCUAUCCGCGCUCGACCGUGUCAAAAUUCUCCGUGAA
rnacentral:rRNA from 1 species